rnacentral:tRNA from 1 species
UAUGAUUAAUUUAUUGGCAGAAAAAUGCAUUAGAAUUAGAAUCUAAUAAGACUUUA